GGGGCUGCAAUGGUUUCGACGGGGCAACAGGAGGGUGACUGAAACCUGCUCGGUAAGAGCAAACCCGUAACUGCGAACAACAUCGUUCGUUUCUCCCGUCAAGCAGCCCCUGUUGCUGCCUGACCCAAGUAAGGGAGAUGGGGUGAGGUCAGCCUUAUCACCCAAUUGACCCACUGGGGCUGGAAGGCCCCUUCCACC
rnacentral:tmRNA from 1 species